GCGCCGGUAGCUCAGUGGCAGAGCACUAUCUGCUCCACGCAAAUGGAGCGGAGCUCAGCAUUCGCCCGUUCCCGGCGCG
rnacentral:tRNA from 3 species